rnacentral:rRNA from 1 species
AAUGAACGCUGGCGGCAUGCCUAACACAUGCAAGUCGAACGGGAACUUCGGUUCUAGUGGCGCACAGGUGCGUAACGCGUGGGAACAUGCCCUUAGGUGCCGGAUAAUUCCCCGUAAGGGGUGCUAAUAUCGGAUAAUAUCUCCGACCAACAGCUUUAUCGACCUUGGAGGGGCACGGGUUGGAUUAGCCAGUUGGUAGGGUAAAAGCCUACCAAGGCGACGAUACAUAGCUUGGCAGAGAGGAAGAUCAGCCACACUGGGACUGAGACACGGCCCAGACUCCUACGGGAGGCGGCAAUGGGUAAUAUUGGACAAUGGGCGAAAGCAUGAUCCAGCAAUGCCGCGUGAGUGAUGAAGUCCUUAGGGUUGUAAAGCUCUUUUACCCGGGAGGAUAAUGACAGUACCGGGAGAAUAAGCUCCGGCUAACUCCGUG